rnacentral:rRNA from 1 species
AACGAACGCUGGCGGCAGGCCUAACACAUGCAAGUCGAACGCACCGCAAGGUGAGUGGCGCACGGGUGAGUAACACGUGGGAAUGUACCCUUUGGUUCGGAAUAACGUCUGGAAACGGACGCUAAUACCGGAUGAGCCCUGCGGGGGAAAGAUUUAUCGCCAAAGGAGCAGCCCGCGUCUGAUUAGCUAGUUGGUGGGGUAAAGGCCUACCAAGGCGACGAUCAGUAGCUGGUCUGAGAGGAUGAUCAGCCACACUGGGACUGAGACACGGCCCAGACUCCUACGGGAGGCAGCAGUGGGGAAUAUUGGACAAUGGGCGAAAGCCUGAUCCAGCCAUGCCGCGUGAGUGAUGAAGGCCUUCGGGUUGUAAAGCUCUUUCGCACGCGACGAUGAUGACGGUAGCGUGAGAAGAAGCCCCGGCUAACUUCGUGCCAGCCGCCGCCGUAACAC